rnacentral:sRNA from 1 species
GCUGGGUGCAGUGGUGCAUGCCUGUAAUUCCAGGAGCUUGGGAGGCUGAGACAGGAGGAUUGUGAGUUCAAAGCCAGCCUCAGCAAAAGCAAGGCGCUAGGCAACUCAAUGAGACCCUGUCUCUA